rfam:Rattus norvegicus chromosome 17, whole genome shotgun sequence.
GGAGAUUUAGUUCAGUGGUAGAGCACUUGCCUAGCAAGCACAAGGCCCUGGGUUCGGUUUCCAGCUCCG